rnacentral:rRNA from 1 species
AGUGAACGCUGGCGGUAGGCCUAACACAUGCAAGUCGAACGGCAGCACAGUAAGAGCUUGCUCUUACGGGUGGCGAGUGGCGGACGGGUGAGGAAUACAUCGGAAUCUACUUUUUCGUGGGGGAUAACGUAGGGAAACUUACGCUAAUACCGCAUACGACCUACGGGUGAAAGCAGGGGAUCUUCGGACCUUGCGCGAUUGAAUGAGCCGAUGUCGGAUUAGCUAGUUGGCGGGGUAAAGGCCCACCAAGGCGACGAUCCGUAGCUGGUCUGAGAGGAUGAUCAGCCACACUGGAACUGAGACACGGUCCAGACUCCUACGGGAGGCAGCAGUGGGGAAUAUUGGACAAUGGGCGCAAGCCUGAUCCAGCCAUACUGCGUGGGUGAAGAAGGCCUUCGGGUUGUAAAACCCUUUUGUUGGGAAAGAAAAGCAGCAGGUUAAUACCCCGCUGUUCUGACGGUACCCAAAGAAUAAGCACCGGCUAACUUCGUG